rnacentral:rRNA from 1 species
CCUACGGGUGGCUGCAGUGGGGAAUAUUGGACAAUGGGCGAAAGCCUGAUCCAGCCAUGCCGCGUGUGUGAAGAAGGCCUUCGGGUUGUAAAGCACUUUCAGUGGGGAAGAAAGCCUUGGGGCUAAUACCCUCGAGGAAGGACAUCACCCACAGAAGAAGCACCGGCUAACUCCGUGCCAGCAGCCGCGGUAAUACGGAGGGUGCGAGCGUUAAUCAGAAUUACUGGGCGUAAAGCGCGCGUAGGCGGUCUGAUAAGCCGGUUGUGAAAGCCCCGGGCUCAACCUGGGAACGGCAUCCGGAACUGUCAGGCUAGAGUGCAGGAGAGGAAGGUAGAAUUCCCGGUGUAGCGGUGAAAUGCGUAGAGAUCGGGAGGAAUACCAGUGGCGAAGGCGGCCUUCUGGACUGACACUGACGCUGAGGUGCGAAAGCGUGGGUAGCAAACAGGAUUAAUACCCUGGUAGUC